rnacentral:misc_RNA from 1 species
AAAGUCGUAACAAGGUUUCCGUAGGUGAACCUGCGGAAGGAUCAUUAAAGAUUCUGGCCUCUGUGCCAAACCUCUUCAGCUGUGCGCUUUGGCUGCACGCUGUUGAAACUCUCACACCUGUGCACAACUCGGUUGCGGUUCACUUGUGGGCUGCUUCCGCUUUAUCAUACAACACCAGUCUUGAAUGUCAACAAACUAUAAAAUAACAACUUUUAACAACGGAUCUCUUGGCUCUC